GCCCAGACGGUCAGCGUUGGAGAUGUCGAACACACCGCCCACGGAGGCUGUGUCCACACCACCUGCAGGGGGAAGAGGGACAACAUUCUUUGGAUGUGGCAGGCAAACAGCCAGAGGAACCUAGUGCCCGAGCACUUCACUUCCACUUGUUGCUGGAUAUUUUGUUGAAAAUGACCCAUUAGACGCAGCCUGGUCAGGAUCUCCUCAAACUUGGCAUGUGUGCUGAGCUUGGGCAGCUUGACGUGCACGCCACCACGCAGGCCGGUUCCCA